rnacentral:antisense_RNA from 1 species
AGCAGCUUAGGGUGAUAGGGGAGGCUUCCCAGAAGACCAGGAAGAGGCUUGGGGGUGGCAGCCAGCACAGCCCGGUGGAGGGCGGCCUGGAGACGCACCAGGGGGCCGAUGCAUGAGCCUGAGACGUGUGAGUCAAGGUGUAUGUGAGCCCGGGAUGCAUGGGAGCUGGGGUGCAUGUGAGCAGGGGUACAUGGGAGCUGGGGUGCGUGUGGGCCCAGGGUGCAUGAGUGAGGGUGCGUGUGAGCCGGAGUCCGUGGGAGCCUGGGGUGCGUGGGAACUGGGUGAGCGGGGUGUGUGAGCGGGGUGCGUGUGGGCCGAAGUGCGUGUGAGCAGGGGUGCGUGUGGGCCGGAGUGCGUGUGAGCAGGGGUGCGUGUGAGCCGGGAGUGCAUGUGAGCCUGGGGUGCAUGGGAACCGGGGUGAGUGUCAGCGGGGGUGGGAUCCGGGGUGCAUGUGAGCCGGGGUGUGUGUGAGCCAGGGUGGAUGUGUCUGGAGUGUGCAGGACCAGAGGCCAGCUCCGUGGCAGAAGUGCCAGGGGACAUCCCUAAUUAAGAGAAUCUGUCCUCACUGGGAGCACUGGGCUUGGGGCACAGCCCCAGGGUGGGCAGGGGUCUGCCAGCUCUACAGAGAUGCCCCCACUUCCCGGGGGACCUGGCCCUGCUAUGGGAUGCACCAGCAGCUGGGGGAUGGGCUGUCCAGGGUGCUGACUGUGAACGCGGCGCCCCCACCCACCCCUUUGGAGAGGUAUCCCUCGUAACAUUCUGGAGCACAGGAGAGGCCUGGACAGGCAAUGGCCCACUCAAUGGUCCCUCCAGACCGUCGGGCACAAGGUCACACACACCGUGUACAGACAAGGCCAUGCGGAACUGAGGGGCAUUCCCGAGCACACAGGAACCCCAGCCUGCCCCUGGGCUGUCCCCAUGUCCUCCCGCAGUUCCCAGGUCUUGUGGAGGGGCAGACAGGGCACCAGGGGGACCCACAAACGGCCUGACACCAUCACUGCCCCAAGAACUGGGCAGAGAAGGGAUAUGGCCCUGGGUCCAGAUCACCAGGUGAUGAGGGCAGGAGGUCAGAGGGAAACGAGGCCCCAGGAGAGGAGAUGGCCAUCCGCAGCUCAGAGUAUAUCCUGGCCUCAAGCGCCAAGCAACCCCACAAGUCUCAUUCCAGACGAAAUGCCCAGGCUGGGGGUGAAGGUCCCUGAACUGAGGGGAGGUGCUAGCACAACAGAGAAAACUGUCAUUUAAAACCCAAACAGGGGCCGGGUGUGGUGGCUCACACCUGUAAUCUCAGCACUUUGGAAGGCCGAGGCGGGCAGAUCACGAGGUCAGGAGAUCGAGACCAUCCUGGCUAACACGGGGAAACCCCGUCUCUACUAAAAAAUACAAAAAAUUAGCUGGGCGUGGUUGCGGGCACCUGUAGUCGCAGCUACUCGGGAGGCUGAGGCAGGAGAAUGGCGUGAACCCAGGAGGCGGAGCUUGCAGUGAGCAGAGAUCAUGCCACUGCACUCCAGCCUGGGCGACAGAGUGAGACUCCAUCUCAAAAAAAAAAAAAAAAAAAAAAAAAAAAAAAAAACAACCCAAACUGCCUGCUCCAUCUGCCUCUGCCUUCCAAGGACACAGACCUCUCCUGUCAUCAGGAAAAUGAGCUGUUCCAAGCUCCCCUCGCCCCAUGGGGAUGUGUCGAAGGACACAGGGAGGACACGUGCAGAGUGACUGGUGCCAUGCCAGGUGUGGGAAACCCCGUUCCAUGGGGGCUGGGCAGGAAGGAACCCUACACCUCCAGCCCUGGGCCCCUCCCACAACUGCCCUAGCCCUGGUGGGAACUGAUUUCCCUAAUUAACACUCCACGAAACAUCCUCACCUCCACCGGAGACGGCAGGAAAGAGACACCCACUGUCACCAGACGGGCUCGGUCACACACACUGUGACAGACAACAGCCCACGUUGCCACAGACGCCUCACACCAUCACACGUGGCCACACGCGCGCGUUACUGCCCUGCAACCCGGCGUCCCCCAGGCCCCGAGGCCCCAGCGUGCUGGCAGACCCACACAGAUAAAAUGCGUGCACGUGGUUAAUAAAAUUACCUGCAAUUUUG